rnacentral:rRNA from 1 species
GACGAACGCUGGCGGCGUGCCUAAUACAUGCAAGUAGAACGCUGAAGGAGGAGCUUGCUUCUCUGGAUGAGUUGCGAACGGGUGAGUAACGCGUAGGUAACCUGCCUGGUAGCGGGGGAUAACUAUUGGAAACGAUAGCUAAUACCGCAUAAUAUUGACUAUUGCAUGAUAGUCAGUUGAAAGGUGCAACUGCACCACUACCAGAUGGACCUGCGUUGUAUUAGCUAGUUGGUGGGGUAACGGCUCACCAAGGCGACGAUACAUAGCCGACCUGAGAGGGUGGUCGGCCACACUGGGACUGGGACACGGCCCAGACUCCUACGGGAGGCAGCAGUAGGGAAUCUUCGGCAAUGGACGGAAGUCUGACCGAGCAACGCCGCGUGAGUGAAGAAGGGUUUCGGAUCGUAAAGCUCUGUUGUAAGGGAAGAAAGAGUGUGAGAGUGGAAAGCUCACACUGUGACGGUAUCUUACCAGAAAGGGACGGCUAACUACGUG